AACGCACAUUGCGCCCUUUGGUAUUCCUUAGGGCAUGCCUGUUCGAGCGUCAUCUAAACCUUCAAGCACUGCUUGGUGUUGGGCGUCUUUGUCCCGCCUUCUGGCGCGGACUCGCCUUAAAAUCAUUGGCGGCCUGUGUAUUGGCUUCGAGCGCAGCAGACUAGCGCCUCGUCCCCUCUAGCAUAGGUGUCCAGCAAGCUUCACCCAUUAAAUUUGACCUCGGAUCAGGUAGGGAUACCCGCUGAACUUAA
rnacentral:misc_RNA from 1 species